GGAUGUGAGGGAGAUCUGGCUGCGACAUCUGUCACCCCACUGAUUGCCAAGAUCUGGCUGGCUAGGAGGGUGUCCCCUUCCUCCCUCACUGCCCCAUGUGUGUCCCUCCCAAAGCUGCAUGCUCUGUCAAAGAGGACGACCAUCCCUGAUAGAGGAGGUUAAAAAAAUUAAUCAGAG
rnacentral:snRNA from 1 species